rfam:Jeotgalibaca dankookensis strain EX-07, complete genome.
UGCGGUGGCAAGGGCAAGAAGGUCACACCUGUUCCCAUCCCGAACACAGAAGUUAAGCUUCUUAGCGCCGAUUGUAGUGAAGGGUUUCCCUUUGUGAGAGUAGGACGCUGCCGCGC